UUCAAUCGGGGAAGGUGACCGCCAUAACUGUUUACACCUAAGUUCCAUCAGUCCCCAUGAAAACAUUUCAAUACAUGAAAAUUAAAAAAAAAAAGGUGGGAGACGUUUAAAAAUCAAUUAAUAGCAAUAAUGCCACAUGUUAAUUGUUGUAUCCCUUUCUGUUCUGCCGACUCUAAAAGACAUGCAAGAAUUCGUUUCUAUAGUCUCCCUAAGGAAGAAACCCGUCGUGCUACUUGGGUUGCACUCAUAAGAAACAGUAACUUACGUAUCGAUUCUAAGUACACAAGUGUUUGUAGUCUACAUUUUCCCAAUGGCAAAAAAACCCACGACAAAAAAGACCCUUCUUUUUUUCCUUGGUCACAGGAAUGGCCUGUAAUUAUCAACAAUUACAACAUGAUGCGAACCCAGUUGGGACUGGAUAACAUGUCGCCAGAACAACAACGUAAGAACCGGCCGAUGACGCUAAGAAUUCCUCCCAUUUGUCCCUGGGCUAAUAAAUAUAUUAAUGUGACAUCGCAAAAAAGUUUGAAUGAGUUGUUUUCUCCGAAGAUUUUGCAAUGUGACAUCGACUUCGAAGAUAUCACUAAGGUCUCGACUAAUCGGGAUUUUCUCAAUCAAAUCGAAGUUGAUUGUCAGGUAAUCAAACAAGAACCACUCUCUGAAAGAAAUCUUCCAUUAUUUGGGACUAAAACUGAUAUAUCAUCGAAUUUAAUUGAUAAAUUACCCUCAGAUGUUAAUGACAACUCUGGCCAGCUAAUCAUUCCUGCAGAUUUGCAAUCUCACAUUAACUCUGAGAAUUUAACCACUCACUUUAAUCUACCUGAUAUUACAAAUUAUUUUAGUCAAACUUCUUCAUUAAAUGAUUGCAUCCUAGCACAACCCACUGUUUACAACCAAUCUACCAUGCUUAAUAAUGCACAGAUUCCAAGAAUACAGUCUAGGCUUUCACACAUGACUGUAGAUGCCCAACAAAAUAUGGAACUUCAAAACCAAAUACAAAGACAGAACAAAAGAUCCUUAUAUGGGUAAGUUAACUCUUCUAGCUCUUAGUUUAUGUUCUUUCAAAGUAGAAGAAAGGCUUUGGAAAAAUACUCAACUCAAACUUUCAUCAAAUUCUAAUAAAGACUUGUCAGUUGGCUGUAUGUCUAUCCUGUUGACAUCUAAGAGCCUCCUUUCGAACACUUUUUGAAGUGGUGGAUGAAUAACAUAGGGGAUAUUUUUCAAGUCUGGAUUCAUUAAUACAGAAAACUUUCAUGAUUACAGAUCUCCUUGGACUGGGGCUCGUUUUAAUCAAGGAGUCUACUGCAUAUUGACUUUAUCAACUAUUUUACAUUGUUAUCACCUUAUUAAUGGACAUAAAACAUAUCAGUGAAAUCUGGAUUGAAAUCUAGAAUUGAAACCACUGCUUCUACUGUGAAGUUUGCUGUCUUACUGACUAGCUUGUACAACUGCCAUUUAAGAGUUUCUAAACUGGAAAUUAUUUUAUACACUAUAAGGACCGAUAGCCAGCUA
rnacentral:misc_RNA from 1 species